UGGGGAAUUUUGCACAAUGGGGGCAACCCUGAUGCAGCGACGCCGCGUGAUUUAGAAGGCCUUCGGGUUGUAAAAAUCUUUUGUAUAGGAAGAAAAUGACAGUACUAUACGAAUAAGGUCCGGCUAAUUACGUGCCAGCAGCCGCGGUAAUACGUAAGGACCGAGCGUUGUCCGGAAUCAUUGGGCGUAAAGGGUACGUAGGCGGUUAAAAAAGUUAGAAGUGAAAGGCUAUAGCUCAACUAUAGUAAGCUUUUAAAACUGUUUAACUUGAGAGAUGGAAGGGAAAGGUGAAUUCCUAGUGUAGCGGUGAAAUGCGCAGAUAUUAGGAGGAAUACCGGUGGCGAAGGCGACUUUCUGGCCAUUAUCUGACGCUGAGGUGCGAAAGCGUGGGUAGCAAACAGG
rnacentral:rRNA from 1 species